AAGGACUACAAUAAAAAAGUUUUUUGUUGAACUUUAAAAACACUCUCCUGUGACAUCAGAAUGCAAAACACCGUUUGGUUCUAAUUGGACCCCAAGGCUGAUCAGUCCAUGAAUCAAUGAAACUAAGUGCCUCUUUCUCCGCUGUGUUCAUUCUCUAUGCCACAAAUGUGAAUAUAAUGGAUCAGUCAAAGCAUGCUUAAGGAUUUUACAGAGAGCAUCUGAAUGUGGCUGAUGGAUUAGCUCCAUGUGGAAUGGCCCUUCAUCCUCAGAUCCGAGAUGCUGAUCUGCCUUCGAUUGACCGAAGAAGCUCAUUCAUCUGUCUCUGUAACAGGGGGCCACAUGUGUGUAAUUCCAGGCCUGUCAUUCACCACAGGAAACUCCUGUCAGCGGGGAGGCGGGAUGUUGAGUGAUUGGCGUUUUGGCCAUCCAGACAACUUCCUCUCAUCGGAGGAAGAACAUUAAAAUGUCUGGGUCAAAAUAACCUGCCUUUCUAAUGUCCUCUUUAACCUCUACCUGCUUUCGAGACAAUACCUUUCCAUGAGUUUCUCUAGAAAAGUGAUCUACAGAUAUAUUACAGAUAUUGUUUAAUUACUUACUGAUUAUAUAAUGUGUAUACUUGUAUAUAAAUCCAUACACACAUAUUAAAUUUAAUCUCAUUUCCUAUAUUAUCUAUUAUAUUUACAUACUUAAUGUGAAGAAAAAAAACAAUAAUGGAAGUUAUUUGACAUUUCUGCGCUUUUACAAUUGAAUUAUUUCAGUACCAGCUUUGAGCCAAGGUGCUGCAUGUUUGGAUUUAACUUUCAGUAAGUCUGUCUGUACAAAGACAGACAGAAGGACAGAAAGCGAGGUGCAUAGGUAAAGUAGGCUGAAGUGUAGUGGGGUUGGACAGACAUCAAAUUCACACCCGUCAGAAGUACAUUCCAGACAGUGUGUGUCUGUGCAGAUUUGUCUGUGUGAUAUAUUCUUGGGUACCACCUACUGUAGCUAAGGGUGAAUGUUCAGACAGCUGGAACAUAAGACAUUCCGACAAUGUAUUUCCUCUUAUAUAUGAUAAGUGUGUGUGUAUAUGUGUGUGUUUCCCAUUUUCAAGUCAAGCUAUGAUAUGUGAUCUGCUUGGGAGUAUAAAUCAAGUCCCUUCUUUCUGACAGAUACACACAUACUGACACAGUGGUGCUCAACGGGAGGGUCAGGUCUUUUCUGAAAAAAAAAAAAUGUAAAUAUUAGAUCCCCAAUAACCAUGAACACACCACACUGAAUCCAGUUCUGAAGCAAAAGCAGUUGAGAACCGCCAAUCUAACACACACGCACAGCCUAAAACCUUUUUGACCUUAGGCCUGAAGAAACAGCAAGAGCAGGUGAGUAGAGAGAACAGAUAGCUUUAAUGGAUUCAGUUUUUUUUUUUUUUUUACUAAAACACCUUUUGAAAGCAAGCUUUAAAAAACCAUUUGAGGGCCUUUUAAAG
ensembl:lncRNA